rnacentral:rRNA from 1 species
UACGGGAGGCAGCAGUGGGGAAUAUUGCACAAUGGGCGGAAGCCUGAUGCAGCGAUGCCGCGUGGAGGAAGAAGGUUUUCGGAUUGUAAACUCCUGAUCUGAGGGACGAUAAUGACGGUACCUGACUAAGAAGCCCCGGCUAACUACGUGCCAGCAGCCGCGUAAU